AGGUGUCAACCUUCAGUUCCUUUUUAAGGCUGGAUAAUAUUCCAUUGCUUUCACAGACAUGCUGUGUUUAGCCACAUAAUCACAAAUGCGUGCGUUGCUCCCACAUUUUAGACAUUAUGACUAAUGCUACUGUGAACCUGGGUACACAAACUGCUCUUUGAGAGUGGUUUUCUUCAGGAAAUGAUAUAUACCCAGCCACAAGGUUGCUAGAACUUGUUGUAUUGGGCAUGUUCAUAUGCUCUCUCUCUCUCUCUCUCUCUCUCUCUCUCUCUCUCUCUCUCUCUCUCUCUGCAUGUAUGUGUGUGUGUGCACGCGCGUGCAUUUACAUCCUCAUCACCAAAGUGCCCGAUUUCUAAUCAUUGACUUCCUCUUUGUCCUAAAGCCACAGAAACAAAGCCCAGCAUUUCAUCCUCACUUACUCUUAGUUCCUCUGUCCUUCCUUCUUCAGAUCCCCUUGAAUGGCUACGCAUAGACAUCCAGGUUCUGUAGCACCCUCUUUGGGCCAGGAAUAGCUACAUAAAUAGUUCUGUGGCUGGGCCUUACAAAUGACCACCAUGGUUACAGCACUCUACACAUCCUCCUGACCUUCUCACCAUAUUUCUAUUUUCUUUAAAAUGUAUUUCUCUUGAUGUGGCUAUGUGUAUGGGCAUGCAUGUGCAGUGCCUGUGAAGAUCAGAAGAGGGCACCAGAUCCCCUGGAGCUGGAGUUACUAGCUAUUGGAAACCUCACUCAGGGUCCCUGAAGGAGCAGCAAGUUCUAGCAACCACUGAGCCAUCUCUCAGGAGGCCAUCUUCAUGGUAUUUCCAUUUCUCAGAUACACACAGUGUCCUUUUAUAUUUAUUAGUACCAGAAGACAAUUUUCCAGGGCAAGAGUCAAAAAGAAGAACCAUGGUUCCAAAGAUCCCUUAAGUCUCUGCUUCAACAGCAAAAAGGGAAGCAGCACAGCUUGAGUCAUAAGACUAAGGAAGUCUAGACAAGACAAAUUCGAUAUCAACACAACUGGCUCCACAUGAAGAGAUAAGAUGCGAUGUUGCCCAUAAAGCAUGAAUGUGUCCUUAGUCAAAUGGCUGGGAGCAUGAGCAUGAACACACUACAGCAGCAGAGCCUAGGGAAUGGGAGGAAGGUCUGUAUGUCUUGGAGCAGUUUUGAAAGACUUCAUACUGGGGCCGGAAAAAAAAAAAAAAACAAGAGAAAUGUAUCCUCUUACAGUUCUAGAGGCUCAAAGUCCAAAACCAAGGCAUUAGUGAGGUCAAGCGUCCUCUGAGGGCCCGUGAGGAGAAUGUGUUCCAGACCUUUCUUUUGUUUUCUGGUAACAUCUAGGUGUUACUGGAUUGGUAGACCCUUUACUCUACUUCUGCCUGUCUUCAUCUCGCCCCUUCAUCUGCCUAUGUCUCUUCUCUUACAAGGACAGUGGUUUGUGGAUCAGAGCCCACCAUAGUGGCCUCACUUAGCUUGAUUUCAGGGCAAGGACAUGAGUUGAGAAACACAACUCAAUGCACCAUAGCUAGGAAGAAAGGGGCCAGGCAAUUCUCCGGACCUGGUUGUCCUCCUCCUCGUUCCAUUGGGUUCAUGGGCUAAGUAAGACUAGGCUACUUAUCACUAAGCUGUAAGAUAUGUUCUGCACCACAAGAUCCUGGAAGCUUUGGGUUCUAGAAUAUCUUAUCUCAGUCUGUCAUUGCUGACCUUUUAAACCUGAAUAAAGGAGAUGGAAGACUG
rnacentral:lncRNA from 1 species